rnacentral:rRNA from 1 species
UACAGAGGUCUCAAGCGUUUGUUCGGAUUCAUUGGGCGUAAAGGGUGCGUAGGCGGCGCGGUAAGUCGGGUGUGAAAUCUCGGAGCUUAACUCCGAAACUGCAUUCGAUACUGCCGUGCUUGAGGACUGGAGAGGAGACUGGAAUUUACGGUGUAGCGGUGAAAUGCGUAGAUAUCGUAAGGAAGACCAGUGGCGAAGGCGGGGUCUCUGGACAGUUCCUGACGUGAGGCACGAAGGCCAGGGGGAGCAAACAGG